rnacentral:rRNA from 1 species
GACGGAGGGUGCGAGCGUUAUUCGGAUUUAUUGGGCGUAAAGAGUGUGUAGGCGGUCGAUCAAGUCUGAUGUGAAAGCCCGGGGCUUAACCUCGGAAGGGCGUUGGAAACUGGUCGACUUGAGUUCGGGAGAGGAAAGCGGAAUUCCGGGUGUAGAGGUGAAAUUCGUAGAUAUCCGGAGGAACACCGGUGGCGAAGGCGGCUUUCUGGACCGAAACUGACGCUGAGACACGAAAGCGUGGGGAGCAAACAGGAUUAGAUACCCUGGUAGUCCACGCUGUAAACGAUGGGCACUAGGUGUGGGGGGUUUUUAAUCCCUCCGUGCCGCAGCUAACGCAUUAAGUGCCCCGCCUGGGGAGUACGGCCGCAAGGUUAAAACUCAAAG